rnacentral:rRNA from 1 species
UACGGGGGGGGCAAGCGUUGUUCGGAAUUACUGGGCGUAAAGGGCUCGUAGGCGGCCAACUAAGUCAAACGUGAAAUCCCUCGGCUUAACCGGGGAACUGCGCUUGAUACUGGAUGGCUUGAGAUUGGGAGAGGGAUGCGGAAUUCCAGGUGUAGCGGUGAAAUGCGUAGAUAUUGGGAGGAACACCAGUGGCGAAGGCGGCUCACUGGACCGGAACUGACGCUGAGGCGCGAAAGCGUGGGGAGCAAACAGG